rnacentral:lncRNA from 1 species
UCUAUUCUGUUUUUUUUUAUGUUUUAUCAUAGCCAUGCAUUAUUCAUCCUAUCCUAUUUAUUGUUGUGAUAUUUCUCCGGUGUAAUCUUCGAUUGCACCCUGAUUUGGUGUUCUGACAUGUUUCUUUUUUUUUGAGUUUCGUAAAGGUUCACAUAUCCCAGGAAAAGGUUAUUGGCUAGGUAUUCCACUUUAUUUGUGGGAUACCCUUGUGGAGUUUCACCCUAAAUUAAUUUUUUUAAUGUAUUAAUUUCUAAUGUAUAAUUUUUUAAUAUAUUAUUUUUAAUAAUUUUAAUGUGGAGUUUCAUCCUAAUUAUAUAAUUAAUUGUAAAACUUUGCCUUUGAAUAAGUGAUCUUGGACCUCUCUUUGUUGCCUUACGAUUACGAUAUUACGGUCAUGUCCC